GCGCUGCUAUCUGCAGUCGAGCGACUGAUUAGAAGCUUGCUUCUAUGACGUUAGCGGCGGACGGGUGAGUAACACGUGGGCAACCUGCCUGUAAGACUGGGAUAACUUCGGGAAACCGAAGCUAAUACCGGAUAGGAUCUUCUCCUUCAUGGGAGAUGAUUGAAAGAUGGUUUCGGCUAUCACUUACAGAUGGGCCCGCGGUGCAUUAGCUAGUUGGUGAGGUAACGGCUCACCAAGGCAACGAUGCAUAGCCGACCUGAGAGGGUGAUCGGCCACACUGGGACUGAGACACGGCCCAGACUCCUACUGGAGGCAGCAGUAGGGAAUCUUCCGCAAUGGACGAAAGUCUGACGGAGCAACGCCGCGUGAGUGAUGAAGGCUUUCGGGUCGUAAAACUCUGUUGUUAGGGAAGAACAAGUACGAGAGUAACUGCUCGUACCUUGACGGUACCUAACCAGAAAGCCACGGCUAACUACGUGCCAGCAGCCGCGGUAAUACGUAGGUGGCAAGCGUUAUCCGGAAUUAUUGGGCGUAAAGCGCGCGCAGGCGGUUUCUUAAGUCUGAUGUGAAAGCCCACGGCUCAACCGUGGAGGGUCAUUGGAAACUGGGGAACUUGAGUGCAGAAGAGAAAAGCGGAAUUCCACGUGUAGCGGUGAAAUGCGUAGAGAUGUGGAGGAACACCAGUGGCGAAGGCGGCUUUUUGGUCUGUAACUGACGCUGAGGCGCGAAAGCGUGGGGAGCAAACAGGAUUAGAUACCCUGGUAGUCCACGCCGUAAACGAUGAGUGCUAAGUGUUAGAGGGUUUCCGCCCUUUAGUGCUGCAGCUAACGCAUUAAGCACUCCGCCUGGG
rnacentral:rRNA from 1 species